rnacentral:lncRNA from 1 species
AUGUGUAACCACAAAGGAGGUCCUGGCAGCAGAAUGCUUUAUAGAAGAGAAGAACAGCUGCAACUGGCCCAUCUCAGGAUUAAAAAAAAACACACACACAAAAAAAACAGCAAAUGUGAAAAGACACAGGAGAAAGUGAAAUGUUAUUCACGCCUCUCCUGCCGGAACUCACAAGUGGACGCAACUUCUUCCCAGUACACUGUGAAAGCAUUCAAACGCCAUGCUGAUUGUUCCCCCUGUGGUCAAAACAGAAACUUGUUUGUUUUCUCUCAAAUUUAUUUGGAAAGGAUGUUGUUACAGCAAUGCUGUUUGAAUUAUUAUAGCUAACCUUUUCCAGUGUACAUGUCCAGAGGCAUAAUUGGAUUCCCAAAAUGAACUCCAUUGACAACAGCUACAGAAGGAUGCUUCAGCUUGUUUAUUCUUAAAAUUAAUGUUGCUUUCAUUCCUUCUCUCCCCAUGCUUCUCUCUCUCUCUCUCUCUCUCUUUCUCUCUCUCUCUGGCUUGCUCACCUGCUCCCUCAAAAAUCCACUAAGUAAGUAGGGCUUAGUGAAUAGCAGAUCUCUUAAUUAUUUACAAAAAAUAAUAGCUUCAGCAGUCGAGAUGUGGUGACGGAACCGACCCCAGUCCCUGCCCUUCCCUUGUCACACUGCGUUUACCUGAGCGAUGUGUUUAGUUGGGCAGAAGAAUCCCUGUAUUUCUCACCGUUGUAUGGUCACUAUCCCUUGUGACCUCUCAGAUAAAAUUUAGUGGCAUCAAGCUCUGGUAGCCACUUCUGCUCCUGGAGCAUCGUUAUUCUUACAAAUUGUACAUCAUUAUGCUUUUAUGGGAAGGCUAUUAUACCUUGUAAAUAGUACAAGCCCAGCAGCUGGCCCAGCAGGCUGCACGGGGGCAUUGCCAGCUGACUGGACAGGAGGCUCAAGAGAAAAG